CUGGGUGUUUCGUGUUCAAAGGUUCAUUCACUCUGAACGUUGUGUCGCAGUUAGUUUUCUCCGUGUGAACCUCCAGCUGAAGAUCAAAGUGUGUGUGAGCUGAUGUGGAUGUGAGUUGAGCAGCAUGAAUCAGAGUGAGGACAGAGAGGAGGGAGUCCCUCCCUCUAAAAGCUCUCUGUGUGGGGAACAUGACAGCCAGACCAAAGCUCAGAGCCCACAACAGACUCUGAGACCAGACUCUGCUGGACCUGGACCUGGACCUGGACUUGAACCUGGAUCUGAACCCAGCUGUAUGUCCUUCAAGAGUGUCCAGUCAAUGGUUGACCUCAUUAAUUCCAAACAAAGUUUAUCGGACAAAAAGAUCCAUCAGAGACCAGACUCUGUUGGACCUGGACCUGGACC